AGGUGAUAUGAACCGUUAUAACCGGCGAUUUCCGAAUGGGGAAACCCAGUGUGAUUCGUCACACUAUCAUUAACUGAAUCCAUAGGUUAAUGAGGCGAACCGGGGGAACUGAAACAUCUAAGUACCCCGAGGAAAAGAAAUCAACCGAGAUUCCCCCAGUAGCGGCGAGCGAACGGGGAGCAGCCCAGAGCCUGAAUCAGUGUGUGUGUUAGUGGAAGCGUCUGGAAAGGCGCGCGAUACAGGGUGACAGCCCCGUACACAAAAAUGCACAUGCUGUGAGCUCGAUGAGUAGGGCGGGACACGUGGUAUCCUGUCUGAAUAUGGGGGGACCAUCCUCCAAGGCUAAAUACUCCUGACUGACCGAUAGUGAACCAGUACCGUGAGGGAAAGGCGAAAAGAACCCCGGCGAGGGGAGUGAAAAAGAACCUGAAACCGUGUACGUACAAGCAGUGGGAGCACGCUUAGGCGUGUGACUGCGUACCUUUUGUAUAAUGGGUCAGCGACUUAUAUUCUGUAGCAAGGUUAACCGAAUAGGGGAGCCGAAGGGAAACCGAGUCUUAACUGGGCGUUAAGUUGCAGGGUAUAGACCCGAAACCCGGUGAUCUAGCCAUGGGCAGGUUGAAGGUUGGGUAACACUAACUGGAGGACCGAACCGACUAAUGUUGAAAAAUUAGCGGAUGACUUGUGGCUGGGGGUGAAAGGCCAAUCAAACCGGGAGAUAGCUGGUUCUCCCCGAAAGCUAUUUAGGUAGCGCCUCGUGAAUUCAUCUCCGGGGGUAGAGCACUGUUUCGGCAAGGGGGUCAUCCCGACUUACCAACCCGAUGCAAACUGCGAAUACCGGAGAAUGUUAUCACGGGAGACACACGGCGGGUGCUAACGUCCGUCGUGAAGAGGGAAACAACCCAGACCGCCAGCUAAGGUCCCAAAGUCAUGGUUAAGUGGGAAACGAUGUGGGAAGGCCCAGACAGCCAGGAUGUUGGCUUAGAAGCAGCCAUCAUUUAAAGAAAGCGUAAUAGCUCACUGGUCGAGUCGGCCUGCGCGGAAGAUGUAACGGGGCUAAACCAUGCACCGAAGCUGCGGCAGCGACACUGUGUGUUGUUGGGUAGGGGAGCGUUCUGUAAGCCUGCGAAGGUGUGCUGUGAGGCAUGCUGGAGGUAUCAGAAGUGCGAAUGCUGACAUAAGUAACGAUAAAGCGGGUGAAAAGCCCGCUCGCCGGAAGACCAAGGGUUCCUGUCCAACGUUAAUCGGGGCAGGGUGAGUCGACCCCUAAGGCGAGGCCGAAAGGCGUAGUCGAUGGGAAACAGGUUAAUAUUCCUGUACUUGGUGUUACUGCGAAGGGGGGACGGAGAAGGCUAUGUUGGCCGGGCGACGGUUGUCCCGGUUUAAGCGUGUAGGCUGGUUUUCCAGGCAAAUCCGGAAAAUCAAGGCCGAGGCGUGAUGACGAGGCACUACGGUGCUGAAGCAACAAAUGCCCUGCUUCCAGGAAAAGCCUCUAAGCAUCAGGUAACAUCAAAUCGUACCCCAAACCGACACAGGUGGUCAGGUAGAGAAUACCAAGGCGCUUGAGAGAACUCGGGUGAAGGAACUAGGCAAAAUGGUGCCGUAACUUCGGGAGAAGGCACGCUGAUACGUAGGUGAAGUCCCUCGCGGAUGGAGCUGAAAUCAGUCGAAGAUACCAGCUGGCUGCAACUGUUUAUUAAAAACACAGCACUGUGCAAACACGAAAGUGGACGUAUACGGUGUGACGCCUGCCCGGUGCCGGAAGGUUAAUUGAUGGGGUCAGCGCAAGCGAAGCUCUUGAUCGAAGCCCCGGUAAACGGCGGCCGUAACUAUAACGGUCCUAAGGUAGCGAAAUUCCUUGUCGGGUAAGUUCCGACCUGCACGAAUGGCGUAAUGAUGGCCAGGCUGUCUCCACCCGAGACUCAGUGAAAUUGAACUCGCUGUGAAGAUGCAGUGUACCCGCGGCAAGACGGAAAGACCCCGUGAACCUUUACUAUAGCUUGACACUGAACAUUGAGCCUUGAUGUGUAGGAUAGGUGGGAGGCUUAGAAGUGUGGACGCCAGUCUGCAUGGAGCCGACCUUGAAAUACCACCCUUUAAUGUUUGAUGUUCUAACGUGGACCCGUGAUCCGGGUUGCGGACAGUGUCUGGUGGGUAGUUUGACUGGGGCGGUCUCCUCCUAAAGAGUAACGGAGGAGCACGAAGGUUGGCUAAUCCUGGUCGGACAUCAGGAGGUUAGUGCAAUGGCAUAAGCCAGCUUGACUGCGAGCGUGACGGCGCGAGCAGGUGCGAAAGCAGGUCAUAGUGAUCCGGUGGUUCUGAAUGGAAGGGCCAUCGCUCAACGGAUAAAAGGUACUCCGGGGAUAACAGGCUGAUACCGCCCAAGAGUUCAUAUCGACGGCGGUGUUUGGCACCUCGAUGUCGGCUCAUCACAUCCUGGGGCUGAAGUAGGUCCCAAGGGUAUGGCUGUUCGCCAUUUAAAGUGGUACGCGAGCUGGGUUUAGAACGUCGUGAGACAGUUCGGUCCCUAUCUGCCGUGGGCGCUGGAGAACUGAGGGGGGCUGCUCCUAGUACGAGAGGACCGGAGUGGACGCAUCACUGGUGUUCGGGUUGUCAUGCCAAUGGCACUGCCCGGUAGCUAAAUGCGGAAGAGAUAAGUGCUGAAAGCAUCUAAGCACGAAACUUGCCCCGAGAUGAGUUCUCCCUGACUCCUUGAGAGUCCUGAAGGAACGUUGAAGACGACGACGUUGAUAGGCCGGGUGUGUAAGCGCAGCGAUGCGUUGAGCUAACCGGUACUAAUGAACCGUGAGG
rnacentral:rRNA from 1 species